UGAGGAUCAGUCCUAGAAUCUUGUACGUACUAAGUAAGUGUUCUACCACAGAGCUACGAGCUACGUCUCAUCUCUUCCCCAAACAUCCUUACUAAGGUCCUGUCUAACCUGCGGCUGAAAUGACCCACAGACCCGAGUGGAACUGUGGGAUGGUUCACUCAGAAGGCGCCUGGGCGUGGUACUCAGACACAGAGGAAAUAGAUAAAGGCCACACUGUCUGUUUGCAGAGCUCUGCAUAAAGAAGAAAGGAAACAAGAAAAGGGACAUAUUCCAUUCCACACGACACUUGAGCGACUGCCUGCCUGCUGAAAUGCUGAAGAAUUCCCUUUGCAACUCAAUCCAGCUGAAACAAACAACAGAACCCAGCAGAAACAAAGGGACCGGUCCUUGGGUUUUCCCAUAUAUAUUCAGAGCUGAACAUUAAAGUUUGAGACUUGAUCAGA